UACGUAGGCAGCGAGCGUUGUUCGGAGUUACUGGGCGUAAAGGGCGCGUAGGCGGCUUUGUAAGUUAGAGGUGAAAGCCCGGGGCUCAACUCCGGAAUUGCCUUUAAGACUGCAUCGCUCGAAUUGUGGAGAGGUAAGUGGAAUUCCGAGUGUAGAGGUGAAAUUCGUAGAUAUUCGGAAGAACACCAGUGGCGAAGGCGACUUACUGGACACAUAUUGACGCUGAGGCACGAAAGCGUGGGGAGCAAACAGG
rnacentral:rRNA from 1 species